rnacentral:ncRNA from 2 species
UAGCAUAAUUAACUAUUAGGUGCCUUUUUUUAAAAGGAGAAUAGGGAAACCGGUGGAAAUCCGGUGCGGUCCCGCCACUGUAAGGUGGAGUUUAGCAUAUCAGCCACUGGAAUACCGGGAAGGCAUGUUAAAUGAAGAAGCCGAGCCAGGAGACCUGCCUUGUAGUUUUAGUUAUA